rnacentral:rRNA from 1 species
AGUGAACGCUGGCGGUAGGCCUAACACAUGCAAGUCGAACGGCAGCACAGUAAGAGCUUGCUCUUACGGGUGGCGAGUGGCGGACGGGUGAGGAAUACAUCGGAAUCUACUUUUUCGUGGGGGAUAACGUAGGGAAACUUACGCUAAUACCGCAUACGACCUACGGGUGAAAGCAGGGGAUCUUCGGACCUUGCGCGAUUGAAUGAGCCGAUGUCGGAUUAGCUAGUUGGCGGGGUAAAGGCCCACCAAGGCGACGAUCCGUAGCUGGUCUGAGAGGAUGAUCAGCCACACUGGGACUGAGACACGGUCCAGACUCCUACGGGAGGCAGCAGUGGGGAAUAUUGGACAAUGGGCGGAAGCCUGAUCCAGACAUACCGCGUGGGUGAAGAAGGCCUUCGGGUUGUAAAGACCUUUUGUUGGGAAAGAAAAGCAGCAGGUUAAUACCCCGCUGUUCUGACGGUAACCAAAGAAUAAGCACCGGCUAACUUCGUG